rnacentral:rRNA from 1 species
UACGUAGGGGGCUAGCGUUGUCCGGAUUUACUGGGUGUAAAGGGUGCGCAGGCGGGCUGGUAAGUCAGUAGUGAAAUCUCGGCGCUCAACGCCGAAACGUCUUUUGAUACUACCAGUCUUGAAUAAGCGAGAGAUCCGUGGAAUUCCGAGUGUAGCAGUGAAAUGUGUAGAUAUUCGGAAGAACACCAGUGGCGAAGGCGGCAUCCUGGACCGGCAUUGACGCUGAGGCGCGAAAGCUAGGGGAGCAAACGGG